AGGGCAUCUUGGCAAGAGACUUGAAGAUAUUUAAAAUCCCUAAUUAAAGCCAGGCUCACAAGGUCCCUGCUCCAGGCUAGAGCAGCCAGUGGAAGCACCAACACCAGUAUCACAAAGAGAUGAUGGAGUCAAAAUGACUGCUUUGGUUGGAGCUGCAUUUUUCUCUGAAGUCUGUAGAAGCUUGUUACCAUGUUAAAUGCCCAGCUUUCAUUAAAUCCACACCUGAAGGAUGAAGAAAGGUAUUUCUAGCAGUGGCAAAAAUAUUGGCAUUGUCCUCCAGUGCCCAGAAACCAUAUCACUGCAAAUGGUAAAUUAAGUUUAGUCAUGUGGUAUGAUCUCCAGCUCCCUGAGUCUCUCACCAAAGUUUGUUGUCCUUCUAAUCGUGAAUUUUCAGCCCACCCAACACUUUUCUGAGGUACCUGGUACUUGCAUCUUUUGCUUCAGCAUCCUAGAAAUCCAAGGAUCUUCUUUACUUCUAUAUUAUGGGAGUUAUUGCAUUCAGAUAAACUGCAAUGCCAAGGAAUAAUCAGCUGCUUGCAAGAAUAUUUCAGCUGACAUUCCUGUGAUUGUGUGUUCUUGUUUUGUUUUACUAUUUCUAAAUAUUCUGUUAGGUUUCAGCUCCUACAAAGUAUUUAGAAGCAUCCUCCAGACUGGACCAUUGUCCAUAUUUUAAAAUGAUAGUUUGCAUGUGUUGCAUGAGAUCACUGCUUUUUAGGAUGAAGACUCACUGAAGACUUAAGUGAGGCAGAGAACCUGACUAACUCACAAAGCUAAAGGUAUCCAAAUUGUUAUGGUCUAAGUCAUAACUGUCCUAAGAAGGAGUUAAGUAUAACAAAGAAGUGGGAAUUUCCAGGCCUGAGUUCCGCACCAGAGUUCCUAGACUCCAAAUCAUCAUAAAUGCUUGUUUUUCCCAAAACACAAACACCCUUCUGACCUCUCUGAUUUUCUGACAUAAACUAAGAAUCUUUUUCAUGAUAAUCAGUCAAGUAUCAGUUCCAAAAAGCCAUUGCUGUGCAUUAUAGGCACUUAUGCACAUUAGAAAACAAAACAAAACAAGCAGUCUACCACUUUCCGGGAUUAAUGCUAUGAAGGAUUUUAUGGGUGGUCCAUAAGUGGACAGAAUGUUGCACUAAUGUGUGACUGCAUGGCAAUUAAGCUUAAUUAGGGAAGGUUUUGAAAAAGACAAAUGAAAGUGAAUUAUGGGAAUGAAAGCAACUGUGCUUUUGGGGACCACACUCUGGCACAGUGGUUCAGCGAAGUGCUGCUAAAAAUGUCCCCCUUCUGUCAGGUUCUGACACACAUCCAGCACUUUGUCAAACCAAGCCUUUUUCUGGGGAAGGGGGUAUCUCAGGAGCACAUUCUUCACCCAGUCUCUGCUGAGCUCCCUGGUGUCAUGAGGAGACAGCUGUGCUUCCAGAGUGAGAGCAGAAGCAGAUGACCCUGAAUCCAUGGCCAUUUGGGUUAGUUCAGCAUUGCCUCUUUUCUGCAUGGAGUAACAAAGGUAACCAUCAAUGUGGAUUUUCAUGUGUGCUCUGGGGACAUUUUUUACAAUUUUCUGUUUUCAGUGCUUUCUAAGAUUUACAGCUGAGCACCCCAUAUGGAACAUCUGAUGCUGGUUGAAGUGAUUUUCUCCGGUGAGAAGCCCUCAGUAGGCAGACCUGGAGCAGUUUCCAGGCUUCCACAGUGCAUGGUUUGAGGGCAUUCCAUAAAACAAGCUCUUUCAGAGCAGAGGACUUCAGGGUUUCUGUGCUUGCAGUGUUUCAGAGCUAGUUGCCCUUCUUCAAGAAAUUUUUAAAGAAAACAAAACUCAAAAUGCUGAAAUCCUCAAUGGAAUAGAUUUGCUUUUUUCUGCUCUGGACUAAGUGGUUUUUACUGCAGGCACUGUUAUAGUAUGCUAUGUUAUAUUGGAUUUUAUUAAAUUAUGGAAAAUAAUUAAAUAGAAAAGCAGAGGAAAAAUGCUACAGAAUCUGCAGGCAGAUCUUUUUUUAGCUUGAAUAGUGUCUGGUGUUGCUUUCCACCAGGACAUGGGGAUGCUUUUUUUUCCCUAAUGAACUUUUUACAUCUGAAAUGAAAUACUGAUUCUGUGGACAAUUUAUUAAGAAAAGCACCAGUUUCAUGUGAGGAGUUUUCAGUCCAACAGGGAAUUUAUAUGUGGAAAUCAUAUAUGGGUAUAGGGAAACACCUCAUAAAAAGAAUGGCUACAUGGUCAGCAGCUGUAAUUUAUGUUCAUUCUCUUUUAAUAAAAAAAUAUGUGUUCAGAAUGAUCUUUUAUAUUUUUAUUGCAGCUCAGCAAGGUACCCUCAACUGUAGCUAUUUAACCUCCUGGCUUUCUUUGGUUUGUUUUUGCAAAAAACAAAGUUAAACCUCAUAAUUGUGUUUUCAGUUACCAAGCUUAUUCAUAUGUGAAAGGUGUGACAGGGACUCUUUUCUCCACUAAAGAAUAUUGAAGUAAGUGUUGAUAGAAACAUCACACAUAAAAGAGUGUUAAAAUGAAAACAGACAAGAGUAUGCUAAAUAGAGAAAAGAAGCUGGAUCUGGGAUUUGAUGCCUGACCAUGAACAGCUGUGCACUGGUAAUCCAGAUACAUGUCCUAAUGCCUAAGCUCUCCAGGUUAGGUGGAUAUUUACCUGAACUACUCAGAUAAAAAUUUGCAAAUGAGAUAUGUGUCCAUAAAUCAUAAUCUUCUUCAGGUCAAAUGUUGUGGAAAUCUGUCAGAUUAAAAAUUAUAUUCCUAGAAAGGAUGCUUCAACAAAACCUCUAGAUGGGAUCUAAUGUUUAGCAAAGUGUUGUAUCUGAAGAGAGAUCCCCUUAGCUGCAGAACCCCUACCCCUCAGAUCCCCUCCUUGCUUCUAUCUCUGUGGCUGGAAAGUGAAGACACUUCUAAAGAGUUGCUGGCCUGUGAGGUAAUGAGAAAUUCCAGGGUCUGCCUUAGGAUCUGUGGUGACAACACUUGUGAGGGGAGCUGGCGCAAUCUCCUUGGCAGAGUUGUUACCCAGCUCUCCAAAGAUUCACUCUGUAGUGGUGGUAAUCAGAUUUUGGUGGAAGUCUGAUGCAGGCUGUGAAGCAGCAGGUGAAAAGCCAUUUCUUCACUGAAAGCCUAAACCCAGCAUUUAUUACUUCCUCUUAGGUCACAGAAACAUCACUCAUCUUUCAGUUUGACAAUACUUUCAUCUUCAUCUGUCCUACAUCUCUUUUGCACAUGCUGUAAAUGCCCCUCCUCCAGCAGUAUUUCUGCUGUGCUCCUGCUGGCACCUUCUGCAGCAGCCAGAGCUCUGGGCAUUCCUGGGAUAGACUCAGAGGGAAUUUUCUGAGUCAAAUUAGCAAGGGCAAAGGUCAGUAUUGCUCAGUUAAUAACAAGAAAAAUCCACCUGGAUUAGUACUGGCUAUUUAAUAGGAACCAACAGAGCAUCAAGAUUUGGCCUUCUAUGAUUUGGAUACUCUCUAAAUUAUAUUUUUAUGUCAGAAUGCUGCCGUGUUGCUUGUUGGAAGACUAGGGAAAAGCAAAUUUUUACAGUUUGAGGAGAGCUGCAACAGCAGCUGGAGCUAUUCUGCCUAUUCUUUCCCCACAUUGCAAAGCUUUAAAGCCAGAGAAAGUGCACUGCCAAAGAAAAUACACUAACAAAGCAUUUGAAUCCAUUAUUCCCAGUUUUCUAGGAGAUAUGUUUCAGUCUGUGAGUUCUGUAUUUCUGCAAGAAAUGUUUAAUAUUUAGAGGUGAAGGAACUCAGGCUUGCUGGUAUUUUCAGAUUCCUUUCUAACCUGCUUUUUUUUUUCUCGCCACCUCCUUCCCUUUUUUGUGGCUUUCCAAUGUAAGUGGCCGCAGCAAACCCCUGUUCAGGAUCCAGGAGGAAUCCUUCACUGCCAGCCUCAGGAGAAUGUUGGUGACAGCCGCCGAAGCGCCUUGAUCACACACUCCCAGCACCCUGCCCUGCCAGCAGCAGGAGGAAAGGCCAGUUUCUGUUAAUAAGGUGCAGAGAGUGGCCAAAAUAUUUGGUGAAUUUUCUGGCUCAAAAGGGUAAUGAAACUACCUCUGUCUCAGUGUACUGGCACAGGAGAAAACUAAACAACUGGGAAACAUGUUUCAGAGGAGAAAUACAGAGCACAUAUUUCUUGGAUUUCACACUUCCACUGGAGGCUGAGCUUUGCCUCUUUCUACCUCUUUUCUACUUUUUUUCAGGCUGGCUGAACCCUUUUGCACAAAAAGUGGGAGGGAUGGGGGAGGGCAAGCAGGCUUUUCUGCAGAUUAGCUUCAGGCAGCUCUUGCCAGACCAAAAGUUACAUUGGAAAGCAUUUCUUAGUUUAUACCAAAACAAUUGAUUGUUUAAUAUAUAAAGUAAAACCAGAAAGUUAUUCCCAUAAAUUUGGUUUAAAAUCUACCUUUCUAUUAGCUUUGAGCGAAAGAAACCUCCACACUGCUGGGAGCACAGUGAGAUUCUUUGGGCUCUCUUCAAAAAGCUCUUUUUGUCAUUCCUCUCUGACCUCCUCCCUGCUAGUCCUGGGAUGAAAAGCAAGCCAGAGAUCUGCUGAGAAAUGGGCGGAGCCACUGCUGACCUUUGCAAAUCCAAUUUCUUCAAAGCGAGAGCUAAUCGACGUGUUCCCACGCUGUGUAUUGCUGAAACUUACGAUGCAAUUCAAGGAAUGAAUUCACCAUGGUGCAAUCUCAUUUUGAAUCCAGUUUUCUUGUUAUGUGUCAGAGGGUGAAGGAGGCAGAGUGUGGUACAAGUUACAGAGAGCAGUCACAACCAAGUUUCACAGAGUGUGUAAGUCUGCCUUUGAAAGAUUUUGCACUUUGGAUGGGCUCUUUCACUUAAAAUCUAAAAUACGUUGGUGUCCCCUCCACCUCAUUCUACCUUCCCCCCCUCCUCGAAAACAGAGAGACAUUUUGCAGUUAUUUUAAACAAAAAUAAGCUAAUGAGAGAUUGCACUGAGCAUUCUCCAAACAGAAAAUAAAUAGGCUGUGAGGCUACUAUCUGAUGUGUAACUGAUAUGGAGAUUUUUUUGGGGGGGAGAUUUUUGUGCACAGGAGCUGUAGGUGAAUGAGAUUGUGCUACAGGAGAGCUUCAAAAUUCAUAUACAGAAUUCAUAUCCUCUCACUUUGCAUAUCUGAUGUGGUAUGAGCAAUAUUUUGAUUUUACAGCAGCCAGAGUGAUCCACUCCAUGAGAAGUUUUGCAAACUCCCCUAGGUACCGCAGCUGUGCCGGCAGAAUCUGUGCAGGAAAAGCACAUUGGCAUUCCCAACCUAAAUCUUAUAAUCUGGUUUCAACAGGUGCCUGGAGAGUUGCCCCCUCCCUGUUUCCCAGAAGGUGCUGCCGUUUGUUUCCCACUCCACUGGCCAAGCCUUGGCUGAGCACAGCCCUGGGCAGCCACUGGACGCAGCGGGAGCGGCGGCAGCGCUCCCAUCCUGCUGGCACGCUCCGGGCAGGGCGGCUUUGCGCAACGCUGCAACUCCUUGUCUGGGGCAAAAGGGACAUGAGGGGACUCUCAUUCCUUGUUCAGCUACUGUGGGGCAUAUGUCAUGGGUGGCACAUCCCAAAGAGAUGCUUUCAGCAGCCAAAGGGAGCAGUUAUGUCAUUGCCAGCGGGGUUGGGCUUGGUGCACCUCCCUGGGGACGUCACCUCUCCAGCUGGGAAGUCCUGGCAUGGCAGGUAGCAGCCAAGCUGCUCCACUUUUGGUGCCUGACCACAGACCUUGGGGCUCCUGGCCAGUUUGGCCAUCUAGUAGAACCAGAGUUAUCGUCAUUUACCACCUUCAUUGCACAAGUGUCAUUCCAUCAUGGCUGAUGUAAUGGCGAGUCAAGUCCUUGGGCUAAUGGAUUGAACUGUGCCUUGGCUGUAAACUGCAGACUUCCAGAGGAGGCAUCAAAGCUCAUUUUGUAUUUGUCCCUGGGAAAGCAAAUGAAAAUAUAUCAUUGUUCUCAAGAUUGCUGAAAGAAGCAAGUCCUUUUUUUAAAUUUUAUUUCUGCAGCCAUGAAUAGUAAAUUUCCUCCAUUCAUGACUGGUUUAUAAAAGAGCUUGCGAACUAACCAGAUCUGAAGAACUUUCUCUCUCACCAAGUAUUGCAGUGAGAGAAUUGUUUGUGUUUUUUAUUACUUUCUCAAUAUUUUUGUUAUCCUCUUUUCCAGGACACUAUUAGAUUUUCCAGUCUUCUGGACAUCAAAGAUUUUGGAGAAGAGAUUGUAUAAACUGGAUAGGUAACAGCUGUUACCAGAUGGAUUUACUGGUGGAAAGGGGAGAGGGCUAAUUUGUUUUAUGUGUUUCCUCCCACUGCUGGCCCUUUUCACUGUGGCACUGUUGCAGUCCUGUGACAGGGAGUGUCCUUGCACAGAGGGAGCCCUUGUCCACAGGAUUGCACCUAAAUUUGGGUUUCACUGUUGGUUAUAAGUGACUUUUCCAAGUACCUUCUUCAGAGCUCUUUUAGCUGACUGUCCAGUGGUUUAUUAGAAAGAAAAAAAAAAUGAGAGAGCAGCUCUAAUAUUGUUAUAUAAUAACACUAAUUGACAGAUUUUAAUUUCUAAUAUUUUCAAAUCAGAAGGUGUAGUUUGCUUCACUUAUGGAUAUCUCAGGACACAGUUGGAUUUAUUUUUGUAAAAUAAAAAAUUGAAUUCCUCAGGAAAGGUCAUAGUACCAAAGGAGAGUUUCAGCUGUAUCAUCUCUGUUGUGCCCUUCUGUCUAACAUGGGAAUAACAUUUGCAUGAAUCCUCUUUAAUUUUUCAUCUAAUAUAAAUUUCCUUGUGCAAGGAAUUCCUCUUUUAGAUUGCUGACUGUUUAAGAAAUGUCAUAGAGGGAAAAUGGUGAUUUGUAAUAUUGCAAAACACCAACUGGUAAAGGAGACUGUGUGCAUUAAUAACAUGAUGUUUGCAUAUUGCUGUACCAACAAUAUCAGAUCCCAUUCAGAUAACAGUAAAGCAGCCUACAGCUUAGACCAGGUUCAAAGAAACUCACACUGCCUGUUCUUUUCUUUAUUAUUUUAGGUUUGAUCUACUUGCUUUCACAUUUGCAUGUUGUGUUUUGAAGCACCUACCCUCACGUUUUUCAAGCUUCAGCAAGGGAGAGCACUUUCAAUAUAUAUCAUCUGCAAAAGUGUCCCAUGUCCUAUGAAUAUGCUGACAUUCAAUGUGAUCUAAAAAUUUGAGAGGGACUGGCAUCUUCUCAAUCUAGUUUCUUUCUUCCUGGGGUAGCCUAGAUUAAUACUUUGAUCCUUUUCUUCUCUGAGCAACUUCAGAAUCCAUUGCCAUUGCAGCAGAGGACACUCUGUCUUCAUCCAGUCUGUGAGGAUCCUUGUACCUUUGCAAAAUGCUCAGAUUCUCACAGAUUUUAACUCUUCUGUGCAGGUGGCCUGGGAGUUAGCUGGGAGAAUAUCACUGGUGCAGAUAGUCCAUGUCAAUGGCUGCUGGAUUGCUGUCGGGAGAAUGGAUCCUGUCUGGGGAGGGACAGAACAGAAUCCAUAUCCAGAAAAUCAUAUCUAAUCUGAUUUUAGGCUUUAGGCCUUAAUUAAUUUCAAACUGUUUUCCUGAAUCUCUUUCAUUCACUCCUUAAGUACUGCUCCAUAUAGUUAAAGCAAAUGACCAAGAAAAGAGAGGGAGUUCAUCUAAAAGAGCAACUGAGCAUCUCUGUAACUCUCAAAGUAUUUUUCUUCUGCAUAACUAGUGGAGAAAUUGGAACAGCUCUGCCAGUUUCAAGACAAAAGUUUCAAGUUCAUCUUUAGUGAACAUUUGGAUGCCAAAAAGGAUCAAACUACAAAGCCAAUAACAAAAAUGUGGAGGAGGCUCAAGACUAGCUCAGUAAUUUGCUGCAUGAACAGGGAUGUGAGGUCCUUGAUUUUUCUUUGAAGAUGACAAGUUUUCUGUGUGCAGUUCAUACAAACAGGGAGAGAAAGAGGUGUCUGACUAAUAGAGAGAGGUAUGGUGAAAUCCAGGUUGUAGUCCCUGUUUUACAGACAGCCCUUUCCGUAUGCCAAGGCAGGAACCAUGCAGGUGAAUUAAUGUUACCCUGUUAUCUCUGGGUCCCUGGGCUGGGUGCAAGCACAUAUGGAAUUAAUGUAAUGGAAUUACAUUUAAUGUUUGUGCAGUGACAAAAACUGGUGUCAAUCACAGCCUUUUAAAGGAGUGUUUAACAGGACAGUCUCUCUCAUCCAGAAGAGGGAUCUUCCUGGCAAGUCUAAGAAUCAGCAGGAGCUUGUACAAGUGGUCAUAACAAAUGGUUGCCAAGCUAUGAAAGCAACGGCUAAUUCAGGUGUGGUAUCUCACAGCCUGCUGUUAUCUUUAAAGUGAGAUUUGUGAGCCUGUGUGCAGGCUUGUGCAGGUAUCCCGUGCCAAGUUAAAGCUACAUUUCAAUAAAUCACAGAAUCACAGAAUGACUUCUGCUGGAAGGGACCUUAAAUAUCAACUUGUUCCAAUGCCCCAGCCAUGUGCAGGGAUACCUUUCACUAGACCAGGUUUCUCAAAGCCCCUUGCAGGGAUGGAGCACAGGGUUUUUUUACUUUUCUCCACAAGCUGUUUGCACAGGAUCUGAAGGGCUGUUUUCAGUGCACUAUGGAUAGACACUGCUGUUGUUAUUUUUACUACUUCCUUAUCAUGUAUUUCAGGCUCUGCAGUGACUGUGAGGGUUAAAUAAAAAAUAAGAAAUCAUUAGCUUGACUAAGUAUUUUCCACAAAGGAACAUUUAUUUAUGGUGACACAGAAAUAUCACAGCAAUGCUCUGAAGCAGUACAGAAACUGUGAAUUUUAAUGUAUGUAGCCAACAGGAGAUUAAAGGUCUUUGGCUCAAGCGCUUUUACUAUGAAGACAUAACAAUACUUUUCUCUUCAUGUAGUUGCAUCUUCAUAAAAAUCUGUUAAACUGCAGCUUGCAGAGGAAGUGUAAAGCACAAGGCAAAUUAAAGUACAAUAACCCUGAAAGGACAAAGUGAUCCAAGCAGUAAUGUAGUACUUACAGGAAAAAGAAUUGAGAUUACUCAUGGCUCAGUGCACAGAAGCAGCAUUUAUUAUGAUAGAAAAGUGUAUACUGUGAAUUAAUUCUGUCAGUUUUGUGCUGGCCUGUUUCUCAUUUUACAUGGCAAAUACUUUGAUCCACGUUAUAAUGUAGGUACUUUUUACUACCCUGGGAAAUUUGCUGCCCCAAUCUACAGAUGAAAUAAUUUAAUCAUCAGUAUUUCACCAGACAUUUUUCAAGCCAAUUUAAUUAGGUUUCAUUGUUUACAGACUUUGCGUAUAGCAUCCAGAGAUAAUUUAGGAGCACAACCUGCUUGUCAACUUGAAAGAAAAUGAAAAAUUGGUUAGCUGUUAUUAUUUAAAACUCCAAAGUGUUCAAGCUGCAAUAUCUGCAGGUUUUUUUCCUUUGAAAUAAUUUUUAAAAUUAAUUUCUCUCUGUAAUCUUGCCAUUCCUGUGCCUGUAAUACAUAUAUUCUCUUGUAGUUUAGGAAGGAAUUAUGGCAUUGCAGUGAUUUGGAUGGAUUUUGAGCUCUGCUAUAUUCCUAUAACAUUUCAGAAUUUCCAGGGGAAAAUCCAGAAGAGUUGUUCCAGAUUUAUGGUUGUAUAACACCAGCAGAAUUCUAUCCUUUUUAUUUGCAUUCAGAGCUAAUGCAUUAGUCAUCCAGGUCCCUAAACAGGUUAAUUAUCCAGUCCAGUUCUUCAGUACUGUUUUAACUGUUGCAUUUAUAACUUUUAAUAAUUUCAUAUAACAUUAGAUGAAUGUAAAUAGGUUCAUGGUAAAAAGCUGAACUUUUAAAGAUGGAAACUGCUGAUAUUUUUUACUAAUUUCUAGAUCUGUUGUAUUACCAGUACUCUUUGGGAAAGUUCUGAUUCACAAAAUAUGAUCUCACGGGAUGUUUUAUCUUAUUGGCUUCUUGCCAUGUUGCCAGAAUGCAGUGUAUUCAGGCAGAGGCACCCAAAGUGCAUGCUUCAGCAGGCAGAGAAAGAGUGCAAAGCUGGCUUUCAUUUUCUACAAACAGAUCCUAGGAACAGUGUUCCUCCUGCUGAAUGGCUUUUUAUUGUUGAUUUUAUGCUUUUGAUUGAGUUAUGUGGGUUUAUGUUUUUGAGACAUGUACCAUAUAUUCACAGGAAAAGUCCAAGUUUCAGGAGUUUUCUUAAAGUGGAUUCAAUGCUUUUAAAAUCUGUACUGGAAACCAUCAUUCUCUGCCUGCUCUCAAGUACAGCACUUAUCUAUAGCUCUGCCUGCACAACUCAGGAGAGAUCCCUUACAAAACAUACCUUUCCACCCUUUCUCAGAAGGUGCUACUCUAGAAUAGAAAAGAUAACUGGUUUGGUAUUAUGCUGAGUUUUUAAAAUUGCCAAAAAAUCUAUUUAAGAAAGUUCAUCUUAAGAAAUGCUAUCUUGAAAAUACUAACCUAGGAAAUAACACCUUCUCAGUAACCCCUAUGAAGAAUUUGGUUUUCAAGCAUCUAUGUUGUUCAGUUGAACUGUUCAUUCCCCUCCCAUUAGUAAUUUAAUAUCUGUGUUUUUCAUAGAGCAGCUCAGCAGUGUGCCAAAUGUUAUUAGCAGAAGGGCAAAGCAAAAAAAAAUUCUGAUCAGAAAUCAGAACUGCUUCAGUAAAAGCCUGGCUCAAAUAUGCACUGAAUGGAGACCAAGUUGGCAGUUUCACUUGUGGACAGUUCAUGUGAGAUCAUUUAAAAUGAUCAGGGAAAAGGUCUAAAGAUCAGCUCCUCAGUGAUCUCUGCUUGUAUCUUGUGCAAUAAUGUAUUUUUCUCCUCACCUUCUUUUCAUCUUUAUUCAUCUAGCUUUAUCUAU